CGAAGGGGGCUAGCGUUGCUCGGAAUGACUGGGCGUAAAGGGCGCGUAGGCGGCGUACACAGUCAGAAGUGAAAUUCCUGGGCUCAACCUGGGGACUGCUUUUUGAUACGUGUGUGCUAGAGUGAGGAAGAGGGUUGUGGAAUUUCCAGUGUAGAGGUGAAAUUCGUAGAUAUUGGAAAGAACACCGGUGGCGAAGGCGGCAACCUGGUCCUUUACUGACGCUGAGGCGCGAAAGCGUGGGGAGCAAACAGGAUU
rnacentral:rRNA from 1 species